UCUAAGCUCAGUCAAACUGGUGGCUUUAAUUCAUCAAGGGUGGAAAUAGUUACACCUCAGGAAUUGACCAAGAUCACAAAUUACGACUCUUCUUUUCUUUCUUUCGGAUAGCUGGUGCUCAAAUAUUUACCAGCAAACCAGUGGCAUUCACCCAUUUUCCUCAAGGCAGAAGAGACACUAGUCUCGCUGGGAUACACUCGAGCAGAAUCUGGAAAGACUUCAGAUUGAGUAAAUGCUGAGAAAGUGCACUGGCCUCUGGCAGUUGGAGCUGAAUGAGGCAGGGAAGAGAACCUCGAGUCAACCACACCUAGAAUGGCUCCUCUUUGAGGACCUCAUCUAUUCAACAACAGGCACUGACUUCAACAUUGCAGCUAAGCAACAUUCCUUCCCGAUAAGAGAACAAGACCAUGAAGUGUAUCUGUUCAGUUUACGGAGGCUGUGCAUUGAGUGUCUUCAUGCCCUCUGCUUCACCUUUUGAUGUACAAGAGCCUAACUGAAAUGUGUAUUUAUAGAAUCUUCCUUAUUUAAGAGACAUCAAGGUUAAGCUAAGCUUUAUGGAUAAGGGCACAGCCUAAGACUAGAGGAAUAUUGUCUGAGACCAAGGCGUUUUCCACCUCUUAACAGAUAUGUAAUCUUUACUGCACUUCACUGAACAUUUGCUUUCCAUUUGUAAAACUGAUAAUAAAAAACUAACUUCUGGAGCUGCUGUAAAUAUUACCCUGAGAAAAAUAAUUAAAACAGUAAUGAAAACGUCUCAACACAGCGCAUGUCUCUCUUUGCAAGUUCAAUAUGAGUUAUUCUCGUUACUACUAUUCAGUUAGUGACACGGAGACCCGCGGAUGAUUGGUGCUUCUGUUGCAGUGGUUUUCAAAUGGGGUUGAUUUUAUACCUCAGAGGACAUCUGGCAAUGCCUGGAGACAUUUUUGGCUGUCACAACUGGGAGAAUAGGGUGCUACUGGCAUCUAGUGGGUAGAGGCCAGGGGUGCUGAUAAAUGUCCUGCAAUGCACAGGACAACAAAUAAUUCUCAGGUCUAUAUUGGCAAUAAUGAUGAGGCUGAGAAAUCCUGCAGUCUGGCACUAAGCUUCAUUAUCUUAAGAAUAAAUCUCAUCUCUAAAUAAUCUUUAAAUUCUUACUAGUGAUCACAAUGAAUAGGCUUCUUAAGGAAACACAUUUUAUUCUUUUCUGUAAUCAUUUAUUUUCUCCUCUAAACAACACUCUUUAUUAGACCAGGCAUCAUGAUGCAUGCUGGAGGUUCAAAGAUCAAAUACAUGAAGUUUGCCCUUAGUAAGAUCACAGUACAUUAAUUUAUAGAGGGAAACACAUAAUUGCCCUGCACUGAGAUGCAUAAAUCAUGAUGACAGAGAUGUUGCUUAUGAUGGUGGCAGGAGUGGGGGUACUUAAAGAUGUUGCUGGAGAGAUGGGAUGGAGUGUGUCAUGCAUGAUCUGUUCCCACUAAAAUGUCUGUGCACUUCACCUUCUAAACCAGGGGACAGGACUGAAAGGUUUGAAGCAGGAGAUACCAUGACUCAAUGUGUGCUUUAUAAAGCUUUUUUAGUGUUAGUAUAUACAGGAGAUGAAAAAUGUGAAAGAAGAGAUACACAAACCAAACAGGAUACAACUUAAAAGUGCAAACUAGAGAUUGUGAAAUUCCAAGUUUGGCCAGUGACAGGUUCAAGGGGAGAAACUUAUGAAUAGGGUUUUGCAUGAAUAGUUGAUGAAUGAGUAGCUGAGGGAGAGAAGAGAGGAGUCCUGUGACAUACCUAGAUUGCUGUGUCAGAGACUGGACUGAUACAGACUGGACUGAUGCAGACUGGACUGAUGCAGACUGGACUGAUACAGACUGGACUGAUACAUGUGGAAAGACAAAAGUGGGGAGAAAGGAUAAUGGGUUUAGUUUGAACAUUCUGAGCUGUGGGGCUGAUGUUUACAGAAUUUGGGAGAGGGAUUGCUUGGAGCAAAAAGAAUAAAGGUUGCCAAAAUACAUAUUUAGUUACUGGGACUGAGGGCUCGGUGCGGUGGCUCACACCUGUAAUCCCAGCAAUUUGGAAGGCUGAAGCGGGCGGAUCACCUGAGGUCAGGAGU
ensembl:lncRNA